rnacentral:rRNA from 1 species
GGGUGAUGGCGUGCCUUUUGUAGAAUGAACCGGCGAGUUACGAUCCCGUGCGAGGUUAAGCUGAAGAGGCGGAGCCGCAGCGAAAGCGAGUCUGAAUAGGGCGUUUAGUACGUGGUCGUAGACCCGAAACCAGGUGAUCUACCCAUGUCCAGGGUGAAGUUCAGGUAACACUGAAUGGAGGCCCGAACCCACGCACGUUGAAAAGUGCGGGGAUGAGGUGUGGGUAGCGGAGAAAUUCCAAUCGAACCUGGAGAUAGCUGGUUCUCCCCGAAAUAGCUUUAGGGCUAGCCUUAAGUGUAAGAGUCUUGGAGGUAGAGCACUGAUUGGACUAGGGGUCCUCAUCGGAUUACCGAAUUCAGUCAAACUCCGAAUGCCAAUGACUUAUCCUUAGGAGUCAGACUGCGAGUGAUAAGAUCCGUAGUCAAAAGGGAAACAGCCCAGACCGCCAGCUAAGGUCCCAAAGUGUGUAUUAAGUGGAAAAGGAUGUGGAGUUGCUUAGACAACUAGGAUGUUGGCUUAGAAGCAGCCACCAUUUAAAGAGUGCGUAAUAGCUCACUAGUCGAGUGACUCUGCGCCGAAAAUGUACCGGGGCUAAAUACACCACCGAAGCUGCGGAUUGAUACCAAUGGUAUCAGUGGUAGGGGAGCGUUCUAAGGACAGUGAAGUCAGACCGGAAGGACUGGUGGAGUGCUUAGAAGUGAGAAUGCCGGUAUGAGUAGCGAAAGACGGGUGAGAAUCCCGUCCACCGAAUGCCUAAGGUUUCCUGAGGAAGGCUCGUCCGCUCAGGGUUAGUCAGGACCUAAGCCGAGGCCGACAGGCGUAGGCGAUGGACAACAGGUUGAUAUUCCUGUACCACCUCUUUAUCGUUUGAGCAAUGGAGGGACGCAGAAGGAUAGAAGAAGCGUGCGAUUGGUUGUGCACGUCCAAGCAGUUAGGCUGAUAAGUAGGCAAAUCCGCUUAUCGUGAAGGCUGAGCUGUGAUGGGGAAGCUCCUUAUGGAGCGAAGUCUUUGAUUCCCCGCUGCCAAGAAAAGCUUCUAGCGAGAUAAAAGGUGCCUGUACCGCAAACCGACACAGGUAGGCGAGGAGAGAAUCCUAAGGUGUGCGAGAGAACUCUGGUUAAGGAACUCGGCAAAAUGACCCCGUAACUUCGGGAGAAGGGGUGCUUUCUUAACGGAAAGCCGCAGUGAAUAGGCCCAAGCGACUGUUUAGCAAAAACACAGCUCUCUGCGAAGCCGUAAGGCGAAGUAUAGGGGGUGACACCUGCCCGGUGCUGGAAGGUUAAGGAGAGGGGUUAGCGUAAGCGAAGCUCUGAACUGAAGCCCCAGUAAACGGCGGCCGUAACUAUAACGGUCCUAAGGUAGCGAAAUUCCUUGUCGGGUAAGUUCCGACCCGCACGAAAGGUGUAACGAUUUGGGCACUGUCUCAACCAGAGACUCGGUGAAAUUAUAGUACCUGUGAAGAUGCAGGUUACCCGCGACAGGACGGAAAGACCCCGUGGAGCUUUACUGUAGCCUGAUAUUGAAUUUUGGUACAGUUUGUACAGGAUAGGCGGGAGCCUUUGAAACCGGAGCGCUAGCUUCGGUGGAGGCGCUGGUGGGAUACCGCCCUGACUGUAUUGAAAUUCUAACCUACGGGUCUUAUCGACCCGGGAGACAGUGUCAGGUGGGCAGUUUGACUGGGGCGGUCGCCUCCUAAAGUGUAACGGAGGCGCCCAAAGGUUCCCUCAGAAUGGUUGGAAAUCAUUCGUAGAGUGCAAAGGCAUAAGGGAGCUUGACUGCGAGACCUACAAGUCGAGCAGGGACGAAAGUCGGGCUUAGUGAUCCGGUGGUUCCGCAUGGAAGGGCCAUCGCUCAACGGAUAAAAGCUACCCCGGGGAUAACAGGCUUAUCUCCCCCAAGAGUCCACAUCGACGGGGAGGUUUGGCACCUCGAUGUCGGCUCAUCGCAUCCUGGGGCUGUAGUCGGUCCC